AACGAACGCUGGCGGCAGGCUUAACACAUGCAAGUCGAACGCCACCUUCGGGUGGAGUGGCAGACGGGUGAGUAACGCGUGGAAACAUACCUUUUGCUUCGGAAUAUUCCCGGGAAACUGGGAGCAAUACCGAAUGUGCCCUGAGGGGGAAAGAUUUAUCGGCAAAAGAUUGGUCCGCGUUAGAUUAGGUAGUUGGUAGGGUAAAGGCCUACCAAGCCUACGAUCUAUAGCUGGUCUGAGAGGAUGAUCAGCCACAUUGGGACUGAGACACGGCCCAAACUCCUACGGGGGGCAGCAGUGGGGAAUAUUGGACAAUGGGCGCAAGCCUGAUCCAGCCAUGCCGCGUGAAUGAUGAAGGCCUUAGGGUUGUAAAAUUCUUUCACCGGGGACGAUAAGACGGUACCCGGAGAAGAAGCCCCGGCUAACUUCGUGCCAGCAGCCGCCGUAA
rnacentral:rRNA from 1 species